rnacentral:rRNA from 1 species
UACAGAGGUGGCAAGCGUUGUUCGGAAUUACUGGGCGUAAAGGGCUCGUAGGCGGCCAACUAAGUCAGACGUGAAAUCCCUCGGCUUAACCGGGGAACUGCGUCUGAUACUGGAUGGCUGGAGUUUGGGAGAGGGAUGCGGAAUUCCAGGUGUAGCGGUGAAAUGCGUAGAUAUCUGGAGGAACACCGGUGGCGAAGGCGGCAUCCUGGACCAACACUGACGCUGAGGAGCGAAAGCCAGGGGAGCAAACGGG